rnacentral:rRNA from 1 species
UACGAAGGGGGCUAGCGUUGUUCGGAUUUACUGGGCGUAAAGCGCACGUAGGCGGAUCGUUAAGUCGGGGGUGAAAUCCUGGAGCUCAACUCCAGAACUGCCUUCGAUACUGGCGAUCUUGAGUCCGGAAGAGGUGAGUGGAACUCCUAGUGUAGAGGUGGAAUUCGUAGAUAUUAGGAAGAACACCGGUGGCGAAGGCGGGUCUCUGGGCCGAUACUGACGCUGAGGAGCGAAAGCGUGGGGAGCGAACAGG